rnacentral:rRNA from 1 species
CAGCCGCCACGGUAAUACGUAGGUGGCAAGCGUUGUCCGGAAUUAUUGGGCGUAAAGGGCUCGCAGGCGGUUUCUUAAGUCUGGUGUGAAAGCCCCCGGCUCAACCGGGGAGGGUCAUUGGAAACUGGGAAACUUGAGUGCAGAAGAGGAGAGUGGAAUUCCACGUGUAGCGGUGAAAUGCGUAGAGAUGUGGAGGAACACCAGUGGCGAAGGCGACUCUCUGGUCUGUAACUGACGCUGAGGAGCGAAAGCGUGGGGAGCGAACAGGAUUAGAUACCCGCGUAGUCCCUGUCUCUUAUAC